CCUACGGGUGGCAGCAGUGAGGAAUAUUGGUCAAUGGACGAGAGUCUGAACCAGCCAAGUAGCGUGAAGGAUGACUGCCCUAUGGGUUGUAAACUUCUUUUAUAUGGGAAUAAAAUGUUCCACGUGUGGGAUUUUGUAUGUACCAUAUGAAUAAGGAUCGACUAACUCCGUGCCAGCAGCCGCGGUAAUACGGAGGAUCCGAGCGUUAUCCGGAUUUAUUGGGUUUAAAGGGAGCGUAGGUGGAUUGUUAAGUCAGUUGUGAAAGUUUGCGGCUCAACCGUAAAAUUGCAGUUGAAACUGGCAGUCUUGAGUACAGCAGAGGUGGGCGGAAGUCGUGGUGUAGCGGUGAAAUGCUUAGAUAUCACGAAGAACUCCGAUUGCGAAGGCAGUUCACUGGACUGCAACUGACACUGAGGCUCGAAAGUGUGGGUAUCAAACAGGAUUAGAUACCCCUGUAGUC
rnacentral:rRNA from 1 species